UACGAAGGGGGCUAGCGUUGCUCGGAAUCACUGGGCGUAAAGGGUGCGUAGGCGGGUCUUUAAGUCAGGGGUGAAAUCCCGGGGCUCAACCCCGGAACUGCCUUUGAUACUGGGUAUCUCGAGUCCGGAAGAGGUGAGUGGAAUUCCGAGUGUAGAGGUGAAAUUCGUAGAUAUUCGGAGGAACACCAGUGGCGAAGGCGGCUCACUGGUCUGGUACUGACGCUGAGGUGCGAAAGCGUGGGAGGCAACAGGA
rnacentral:rRNA from 1 species